UAUUAUGGUUGGAAGCAGAGUUGCCCUAAUGUAUACAAGUCCUUCAAGGCUAUUUUAGUAUGAACUUAAUUAGAACAUUCUUUCAUAAAGAAACAAAAAUGUGUGCCAUUUCCUCUUUCAUUUCAUAUAAACACAUGGACUCAGCAAACUGUAUAGUUAACAUAUUAGAAAGGUCUAAGUGCUUUAACCAUCAAAGAGCAGGGGUGUUGCUGGCCAAGGGUGAUGGUGGUCACAUAUUUUGCAAAGCUGAACUAUCACCUAUUAACUUAAAACCCUAAAAAUAGGCUCAGUGACAGGUAUUUGAGUUUAUGAAUGAAGAGAUAAAGAAAUGAUCGAUGACACGCUGGCUGCCAUCCUGGGACACCCCCAAUGUUCCCAGGACAAGUGACUAAAGGAAACAGCAAAACAAUAUGAUUGGCAGGGCCAUGAACAACUACAUGGGGUUCAUGACACUCAUCACCGCACUUGUGAUGUCCUUUAAAAAUGUUCUCAUGAAAUUCCUUGUCAGUUUUCCAUUUGGGUUUUCUAUAAUCAAAUGCAAAAUUAAAACAAAUUAAUAGGAGUUCCCGUCGUGGCUCAGUGGUUAAUGAAUCUGACUAGGAACCAUGAGGUUGAGGAUUCGAUCCCUGGCCUCGCUCAGUUUAGUAAACACUAAAGUUUAUGCUAGGAACUUGCUACAGACUGAAUAUUUGUGGCUGUCCCCAAAUUCCUGUAAUGAACCCUAUUCCCUGAUACAAUGGCAUCGGGAGGUGGGGACUUAAGGAAGUAAUCAGGUCAUAAGGAUGGCGUCCCCAUGAUGGGAUUAGUGUCCUUAUUAAAACAAAACCAACAGCAGUUUCCACUGUGGUUCAGCAGGUUCAGAAUCUGACUGGUAUCCAUGAGGAUGCAGGUUAGAUCCCUCACACCUCACUCAAUGGGUUAAGGAUCCAGUGUUGUCAUGAGUUGUGGUGUAGGUCACAGACGUAGCUUGGAUCCCGCAUUGCUGUGGCUGUGGCGUAGGCCAGCAGCUGCAGCUCCAACUUGACCCCUAGCCCAAGAACUUCCCCAUGCUGCAGGUGCAGCCCUAAAAAGAAAUUAAAAAAAGAAAACAAACAAACAAACCAAACCCAGUGAGCUCCCUGGCCCUUUCCACCAUCUGAGGAGCCAAUGAGAAGACUGUGAACCAGGAAGCAGGCCCUUGAUGAAUCAGCCCAAGUCUUGAUCUUGGACUUGUCAGCCUCCAGAGCCAAGGAGAAAUAAAUUUCUGCUGUGUAUACAUCUACAAGAAUAACAGCAGCCUAGAGGGACUAAGACAGAACUAAAGAAAAAAAAUUACUCGGUAUGAAUUUCCUUUCAAUUUUUAAAACUCCAACCCUUUGAAUAACUUCUGCACCCUUACUUUGUAAUAAAAGAGGCCACAAGAGCAAAGACAAUCAUAACAAGGUCCCUAUGCAAGCACCCUGUGGAUUUUUAAUGACAACACCUCACUUCACUUCUAGGCAAGUUACCGGAACACUCUGAUAGAAUCUUCACACAGCACAUCAAUCACUGCCAUGGCGAUCUUCUAUUAAGAUCUGACCUAGAAAAAGCCCUUAAUUUUUCUUCAUGUACGCCUCUAUCUUACAAUAUAUUCUUAUAGAAAAAUCAAAAUAUUUGGAAGAGAGUGAGAGAAAAAGAAAUAAUCCAUUUAGAAAAAGAGAGAGAGAGAGAGGAAAAAAAAUAGGAUAAAGUUGAGAAGACAUUGUUCCCUAAGCAGUAUUUUGUAGCCUAAAGCAGGGAGACCCUCCAGCUUAGUUAAAAUUUCCUUUUACCCAAAUAUUUUUCAUCGGUGCACAAGCUAGCCUCCCAUUUGCAUCUUUCUAAAUUACUAAAGACUUCGUUCUUCUUUUAAUUUCCAUACUAUUUCCUGCAAUAGAUGAUACUCUCCUCGACCUCAUUUCCUGUUUCUCAAUAAAUCUCUAAACUUUUGUUUGCACCCCAUCAUUCAUUUCAUCUAUCAGCUAGAGUUACGGCCAGGAUUUGGCAGGCCUUGUGGGAUGGGGGUGCGGGGGUGGGCCGGCGGGGGUGGGGGUGUUCUGGGUUGGGAAGUGACACAGUCCCACCGCACAGAGCUGGUCACCCUCUCAGGCCCACAGCAGAGGAGCACAGGCCCCUGGUCCAAGCAGCACCCGUCACAACUCUAUCUUGAAACUUCCCCUUCCUGGCCCCAACCACGGAAGGAAGCCAAUUCCUCACACCCCCGCAGGUGCAAGGCCUGUGCUCCCAUCUUCAGAGGGACCUUCAGGAUGACCCAUCACUGGCCCGCAGGCGCCUCACUGCAAGUAAGAGGAACUCUUUUCACGCUGCCUCGCACAGUCGACAGGGCUCAUCAGCUACGAUGCUGGGAAGCCCAGGGAUGGGAAAGUUUUGGAUUAUACUGAUGCAACAGCCAAGUAAUCGUGUCAAAUGCCAGGCUUCUUUCCUUCUCUCCUUCUCUCUACUCUGCCUGCAAGUGAUUGACUGGCAAGAACUCUGGAGAUGAUUUGCUUCCUUGUCCUCGUCCAAGGAGGAAGAGAACCAGGGAGGGAAAGGGAAAGACGUGGUGGGCAGGAGGGUGAGGAGGCUAGAGACCCAGACACACAGGUUGAGAGGGAGCAAAACUUCCCUAAAUUUGACCUCACUGGUCCAAAGGUCUCCACUGCGGUCAGAGGAAUAAGACUAUGUUGUCUCCUGCCUUGAACUAGAAGGGGUUUAAGCGUCCCCUAAAGCUAUGAAGUAACAGCAUGGGGCAGCCAGGCGUAGAUAUGCAAACAGCAAUUGAGGAAGGAAUCUCCAAGAAGGCCACCACAGUGUCCACUACACAA
rnacentral:lncRNA from 1 species